rnacentral:rRNA from 1 species
UGGGGAAUAUUGGACAAUGGGGGCAACCCUGAUCCAGCCAUGCCGCGUGAGUGAUGAAGGCCUUAGGGUUGUAAAGCUCUUUCGCACGCGACGAUAAUGACGGUAGCGUGAGAAGAAGCCCCGGCUAACUUCGUGCCAGCAGCCGCGGUAAUACGAAGGGGGCUAGCGUUGCUCGGAAUCACUGGGCGUAAAGGGCGCGUAGGCGGAUUUUUAAGUCAGGGGUGAAAUCCCAAGGCUCAACCUUGGAACUGCCUUUGAUACUGGGGAUCUGGAGUCCGGAAGAGGUUGGUGGAACUGCGAGUGUAGAGGUGAAAUUCGUAGAUAUUCGCAAGAACACCGGUGGCGAAGGCGGCCAACUGGUCCGGUACUGACGCUGAGGCGCGAAAGCGUGGGGAGCAAACA